UUAAUGUUGAGCCCGGGAGAGAGAGGAAACGAGAGAAAAGGUCACCCUAAAUUCUCGAAGAGGAGAGCAAUCCUUGUUCGUUGGGCGUGGCAUCGCUGGAGGGCGAGAAAGGCGACAGAGAGACGGAGUCGCCCUCUCUCGUCUCUUCCGAUGCCGAUGCUCCCAUUAUUUGUCUCGUUUAAAUCUUUCCUGCGCAUCUGAGGUCGUACAUGCUCCAAGAACCCUUGUUAUCGGGCUCUCUUCGGGGUUCUUGGCUUCGAUACGAUCGGACUCUGGGUGUUCCUGGCGUAUUGCAGGCGGAUUUGCUGGAGGCUCGUUCUUGAGGGAUUUCUUGGAGGAAUUGAUUCCAUUUGGAGGCAUUUUGUGGUUCUUUAGGCCUCUCCAGCUUGUUCAAUUGCAGAGACCCCCCCACUUCUCGAGGAUGCUAGCAAUGGGGAAUGGCUCAAGUUACACUAAAUUUUCUCACCAUCAAACUUCUUUGAGGCACAGAUGAAGUGGCUAUGAGCCCUCUUAUACAGAAACAGAAUGGCAGGAAAGCCCUUGUCACGAGGGACCUUCACUUCAAACAAGCCUAGAACACCUGUCCUGCUAGAGCCAUCUGUCUCUUAAAACACAGUUGGAGGAACACUUUGAGGAGGAAAGCAGUGAUACCUCAGUGAAAGCUUUGAGAACUAGUCCAGCUGCCAGAAGGCAUGGUAGAUCUCCUUAGAAACCAAUUCUUUAGCAUACUAUGAUUUAAGAAGAAAUACCUGUCCUUAAAAUGUUUUAGAGCAUCUCCGGUAUGUUUCUGCUUAUAAGGACAAACAGAGGAGUCAGAUCAUGAAAAUUAAUGAGCUAAACAGCUCAUCCUGGAAUAGGAGUCAGAGAACUCCGCCAAAAUUUUAUAAUUCUGCAGAAAAUAAUGCUCAUUCACAACUUCAAGAAAUUUCAAGGGUGAGUGAGAGUUCAAACUACAGUAAUAACAUGCCAUGGUCUGCUCCAAAGCCAAGAGCAAGGGAACAAGAGCAGCAAAUUAAUUCUAAUUCUGCAGUUCAUGGCAUAGCCUGGAUCCUCUCACCACUAGUGAAAACCAAGGACCAUAAUAGGGAGGAUGGCACAUAUGCUAGAAGUCCUUACCCAAAGGAAAUAAAUGAGGUGAUUGUUUGUAGGAAGCUAUCUAGGUCUCCCUCUUAUGAUGUUCAUUUAACAAAGAGCCCACACUCAGUUUUAAUUGGCGAUAUCUUCUUUUUCCAUGAUUGCACAGUUCUGCGGAAAAAUUCUGCCAUAUACAAGCAACAAUAGAAAAAAACUUUGCUCCAAACUUAAGAGUGGUUUUAGAGAGAAAUACUCCUCUUCUUCAUCAGGGAAGUAGUGGGAUCGAGAGUUCUGAUCGGAAUUCUCAAGUCAUAUCAGCUAGUACUAUUCUUUAAUGAACAAAUGCAACCUCACAUUCUGCUGUUUGUCAGUUGAGUGGUGAUCAAACAAACACAAGCUCAAAUUCUGCUGUUGGUUGACUGAGCAGUAGUAGGUUUCGUGAUGGCGGUGGAAAAGCAGAAGUUUCAGAAAAUUCACUCCCAAGAUACAAAGAAGCCAAGCAGAUGCCUGGCUGUCGUGUCAGAAGAGGCUUAUUCAGAAAGGGAGUAACCAGAAUAUAGGGCAAUUAAUGAAGCUUCUUUUGUCGAGAAGGCAUUCGUGGUGGAAGAACUGAGAAUAUUCUGGCUGGUUAGCAUGGGCCCCGUUCAUCGAAUGAAUUCAUUUGUCACAAACAACAGAUGUAGCAUCUUAGACAAUUGGUAAGGUUUACAAGUUCUGCAUGUUACUUCUUUCUUGUAUUUCUUUUAAUUGUGAUUUUAGGUCAUGUUAGAUUUGUAGAGAUUUCAAGGACUAUUAGAAUGUAGUUUUCUUUUGAUAGAUUGUGGUAGUCUUAGUUACUGAAUACUCAAGAUUGUUGAAAAGCAGCAACUUGCAUGUGAUCCUUCCCA